ACAUUCCAUUAUUAUUACAACAACUUCGAACCGGAAUUCCAGAACGCGCGCUUGUUGACGGUAUUUGCGCAACCGUUCGUUCGGCGCGUUCUAAAACGAAGAGAACGGUACAGAACGCGAGGUUUGGAAAAAAAAGUUGUAGCAAAAAAAGGAGUCGAUUCGCAACGGAACUAGUUGCGUAAAAGAAUCGCCGCUUGGUCUCGGAAAUAACAUACAGUUUGGUUUAAGAGUGUUGUUUAAAAAAUUUUGAUUUGCUAAAAAGGUCGUUAAACUUGAUUUUUAAUGCCGUUUUUUGCUUAUGUUAAUUCCUAACGGUAAAGUAUUUACAAAUUGAAUAUUGUAAAACGUUCCAAACGAGGAAAUUGUACGGUAUGGAUUGCUUAAAGAAGUUAACUGUAAACAUUACUAGUUAAAAACUGGUUUUGGAGAUGAUACAAAUCUAUAAAUAACCUAGUAUACUAGUAUAGUAACUCGUCAUACAUAAUCUGGGUCAGUGUGGCCUUUGGAGGAGUCAAAAAAGGAUUUAACAAGAACUAAACCGGUUACCAACUGGAGUAAAACAGUCAAGUCUUGUAAAGUCGAGCUCGCGCAUGCAAAUCUUUUUAUUUUUUAAAAAACGUCCUAAUUGAUCCCGGUUAUGUAACUUCCUCGUUCUAAACCGUUUCUUUUUUAAAGUUAACAGCAAUUGGGUCGAAUCUAAUUGCAAAAUUUCCUCAACACAUUUCAAAUUAGACGAGAUUAAUUUAAAAAAUAGAAAGUUUUUUUAUUUCCAAUUUGAAAAGAAUAAGAAAUAUUCUUUUAAUUCGUUUUGUACCACUCCUUAAUCACGUCCGGAAACUCCGAAGGCGGUGGCAUUCUCUUGCUCUGCUGCAAUACUCAAUCCCAGCGUAUAUUUAAAAGUUUCACUAUCAAUAUUCAAGUUAAUAAUAACGUAUUUUUAAAACACCUGUAGAUAGAUAGUCGAAGACAUUCUUUUUUAACCAUCGCAUCGUAGCGGUACCUUAAAACGGUUAACCUAAGGAUUAUUUACAAUGUUUUUCUAGGUUACGACUUGAAACGUGAAAUCAUUACACAUGUUCUUGGUUCUUUCAAUCACGUUCCUUUCUUUCAUUCCUUUUUGCAACUAAGCAAGAAUCAAACGUUCACUUAGCGAAGACAACUUUAACGAUUCGAUUUAAUUAGAUAUCAACAAACCCGCAUAUAUGUGCUUUAUGGACUUGAUUAAAGCUUGCGAUAGAGAGAUGAGGCACCAAAGAGGGGCACCAGCUGACGGGGAGCCGAAGAAAGAAUACAAUACAACAAGAACCACCUCUGUAGAUAAAGCAUGAUAUGAACGAAUCAUCAAUAACCUAUGAGUGUAAUUUGAUGUGUUUUUAUAAAAAUAACGAACGUGAUAUUAUCAUCUUGAUCGUUUAACCUAUAAGAAGAAAACCUUGAAAUAUUCGAUACUGCACUUGUGUCUCUCGGUUUCCGAUCUAGAAAACCAGUCCGAGAUUUUUUUCUUCUUUUAUAGAAAAGAAAUAACACCGAGAGAACGUAAAGGCCGUAUGCAAAUUAAUCUCGGCAUUUACUUUUCUAAAACCACUCCUAUUUUCUAACAGAUUAGUUACAAUUAAUCAUUUGAAAUGGAAUUUAAUAAAAAAAAAUGAAUCGUUAAACUUAACAAUUGUAAAUAAAGAGGUUAAAUUCUGAUUACUACUACAACCAGUCUUGAAAUAACUUUACGAGUGCGAUUUCCGCGAAGAAAAUUACCGAGUUCAAAUCUUAAAGCGUACCUAAAAUAAUCUAGAACAACCGGAAACACGGUUUAAAAGUGUUUCCGAAUCGGGUUUUUGCUCUCCCCGUUUAUAUCUACAUGGACAUUUUUAACUUUGUGGGUGCCAAAAAUAAAACUCUCCCUUUGGAAUUUUAGAAUUAAGUUGUAUACGUAAAGGUUGAGUCAUUUUUAAACGGGAAAAAGAAUUAAUUUAGAGAAAAUCUAUAUCUAAUCAAAUUAAAUCGGUAAUGAUUAAAUUUCGCGGUCACAGAGUAACGAAGUCAUUGUAACUUUGUGGGAAUAUUCUCCGAGUUGUGCACUUGACACACAUCCCCUCUUGUGUUUUGUGGCGGAGGUUUUUAAGAAAAGGAUUGUUUACAUCCGAAACCAUAAAGAAAAACACAAAGGGGAUAAUGUUCCAACGUGAGAAACUCGAUAACAAUAUCUUUUUUUAAAGAUGAACGAAAGUAAAUCUAGUUUGUAUUUGAAUUCAACUCAUUUAACCAGAUAUCUUUAUUAUCAACACAGCUGAUGAAAGGGAUCCCUCAUUUAAUUAGAAGAAACAGACCGUCCGGUCAUUCACGCUAUAAUUAACCGUUCUGGCACAGUAAUUGAUACUGAAAACGUCUUUCGUUUUCUUUUAACGAUGGAAGGAAGACGGUUAAUUGAUAAGUAGUUAUGAGAGUAAAUUGGAGUGUGUGAAAAGAAAGUGGUGCAUUUUUUUUUUUUGGUUAACUUAUUAAUUAAUCAAGAAAACUUUUAUUUAUAACCCAUUAGUUCUACUUAAUUAGAGGUGAGGUUAGAUUACAAAAUGCGUUUUAAAUUGGGAGCGCGCGCACUCUCCGAAACGAAACUCUCAAAGUGGACAAAGGGCACGGGAAACCGUUUGCCCUCUUCAAUGAACCGUGAACACAGUCUGCCGUAAGACACGGUUCAAUGAUCCGUGGCCACUUGAGGAGGUACUCAAAGACUCAAAACCCAAGUGUGAAGAAGUGAAUUUAUUUCAUUACAAGUAUUUUAUGAUUUUUAAGAAAAAAUUAUCUUAUUCUAGCAUAUAAAACUCAUAUACUACAUAAUAUAAGUUAGGAAAUAACUUUUUGAAGUUUGAGGUUAUGUCAUUUCUAAUU